rnacentral:rRNA from 1 species
GUGGGGAAUAUUGGACAAUGGGCGAAAGCCUGAUCCAGCAAUGCCGCGUGAGUGAUGAAGGCCUUAGGGUUGUAAAGCUCUUUUACCCGGGAUGAUAAUGACAGUACCGGGAGAAUAAGCCCCGGCUAACUCCGUGCCAGCAGCCGCGGUAAUACGGAGGGGGCUAGCGUUGUUCGGAAUUACUGGGCGUAAAGCGCACGUAGGCGGUUAUUCAAGUCAGAGGUGAAAGCCCGGAGCUCAACUCCGGAAUUGCCUUUGAAACUAGAUAACUUGAACACGGGAGAGGUGAGUGGAAUUCCGAGUGUAGAGGUGAAAUUCGUAGAUAUUCGGAAGAACACCAGUGGCGAAGGCGGCUCACUGGACCGUUGUUGACGCUGAGGUGCGAAAGCGUGGGGAGCAAACAGGAUUAGAUACCCCAGUAGUCC